UUUUUAUGAUCAAUACUUGCUACUGAUGAUCAAGCUUAAUUAAUUGUGAGCUACUGCAAAUCAAUUAAAAAGCUGAUCACCAAGUUCAAGUUACUAUGGCAGUAAUAUCUACGAGUGAAAGUGUUGGCUCCUGUGUUUAAAGAUGUUUGAAGAAUAAAACAAUGUGUGGAUUAAUUAUUUGAAAAUUAAUGUGUACGUAAUCAAAUUUGAGCAUCUCAAUUUCUUUGGAUCAAUUUAAUUUGAUGCCAAUUUGUCAAUGCGUUCUAUUUGUUUAUCCUUAUCGAAUAAGUUUACUCGAUUUCAUUAUUAUGAAAACUUAGUUUUAAACAUAAUAUGUUGUUCUUAUUUUCAUUAACACCGGAUUACUUUGUUUUAACAGAUUACUACUCACUUGUCUUUACAAUUGUUGCUAUCUACUUGUUUGCGAAAAAGCAUAAGGUAAGAAAGAAAAAUCUUUGAAUAAUCUUUGGUUGUCUAAUUUAUGCGAUUUACACGUGGAGGUAUUGAAGAUUUUCACUUUAAUUUUUCAAUGCAAACUUUGAAAGCUUAGACUUGUUUAAGAAUUAUUAGUAGACACAUGUUUUAGCUCGUGUUUAUAUUUAUUGACUAAUUAAUCUCUGGUGUAGUUUUAUUUAAUUGUUAUAUAAAUGCAGGAGGUACAAUUAAAAGAGGCGGGUCUUUUCUGAAUGUGAACUAGCUAUAUUUGACUCGGAGGAUCCAGUGUCAAUCUGGAUAUUUGUUGUUUUGUGGAAAUAAACAGAUAGAAAAGGUUUAACUAAAUGCUUAAGUUGUUCUCAACUGCAUUGUACAAUGUACUCGACUAUUGAGUGAUAGAUUUUGCCUGUGUGAUUGGAACAAUGCUAAUGAUUCUAAUAUUUAGUCCUAAUUGAUGUGGUACAUAUCUUUUAAAUGAUAAAAUAAUAAUUUUAUGAAAUUAUCCAACUACUUUUCUGACCUUCAAUUUUUUGUUUGAAUUGAAUUUUAUGAAAUUCGAUAAAGUAAACAGAAAAAUUAAUGCCUCCCAUUUGCAAGCAUUUCUAGGAAAUCUUAGAAGUACAAAAUAGCAAACUUCGAAAUGUCUUAAUUCAAUAUCAUUAAUUUGACUAUUGACUUCUAAAAAAAUGCAAAAAAUAAUUAUGAACAAACAAUUAUUUCACAAUACAUGUGUGCAAUAUUAUUAAUUCUUAUGCAAACAAAAAAAAUUGAUUAAUAACUAUGAACUCUUUGUGAGUGAAAAAAGAUAGAGACAAAGGGUGGAAAAAACAUAUCAUUUUUACAGUUCACCAAAUGGGGAAGUUGGAAAAAAAUAUAUA
rnacentral:lncRNA from 1 species